rnacentral:rRNA from 1 species
AUUGAACGCUGGCGGCAGGCUUAACACAUGCAAGUCGAGCGGGGGAAGGUAGCUUGCUACCGGACCUAGCGGCGGACGGGUGAGUAAUGCUUAGGAAUCUGCCUAUUAGUGGGGGACAACAUCUCGAAAGGGAUGCUAAUACCGCAUACGUCCUACGGGAGAAAGCAGGGGAUCUUCGGACCUUGCGCUAAUAGAUGAGCCUAAGUCGGAUUAGCUAGUUGGUGGGGUAAAGGCCUACCAAGGCGACGAUCUGUAGCGGGUCUGAGAGGAUGGACCGCCACACUGGGACUGGGACACGGCCCAGACUCCUACGGGAGGCAGCAGUGGGGAAUAUUGGACAAUGGGGGGAACCCUGAUCCAGCCAUGCCGCGUGUGUGAAGAAGGCCUUAUGGUUGUAAAGCACUUUAAGCGAGGAGGAGGCUACUUUAGUUAAUACCUAGAGAUAGUGGACGUUACUCGCAGAAUAAGCACCGGCUAACUCUGUGCCAGCCGCCGCCGUAA